AAAAGAAAGUUCGCAUGCAGGAUGAAGCAAAACACUGGACGAUCCUUUGACAUGCAUGCACGUAGACGUACAUGCACGCACUUAAUUGGUACUAGUUGAUUGCGCGGCAGUUCUUCCUGAUCUGUCCCUGGUCACCGGUCUUGACCUCGAUGCCGGCCAUCUUCACCAUGGCCUUCUCGAACCUGUCCUCCCACCAUCCGGGGAUGUUGGCGUUGUCCACCACCAUCCUCGCCGUCUCCUCGGAGGUCAGGAGCGCCGCGUCGGAGGUGAAGAGCACCGUGUGCGACAGCACGUUCUUGUAGUACUGCCUGUCCAGGUCAUUCGGGGUCACCACGUCCUGCAUCACUGUGGGGUCAUUGCCGCCCGGGGCCGCAUCAGCGGGGCAUUGGUCACGCAGGAACGCGGCGAGGCCGCCGUUGAUGUCGGAGGGGGCGUUGAGGCGGUCAGGCACAAAGGAGGAGCAGUGGGAGCGACCGAUGGUGUGCGCUCCGGACAGGAUGACCAGGUCCUCCGCGUCCAGGCCCUUGACGACGAAGCUAUCGACGAGGUCGCUGAGGUUGGACGUGGGCGGGGCGAGAAACUUGAGGGGCUCGGAGGCGUUGGAGAAGGUGCCGUCACGGCGGCCCGAUGGCACCUCGAAGUGUACCUUGCCGGCGUUGAGGAUGCAGGACGCAUCGCGGGCCGCGAAGGCGAUGAUGUCCGCGCAGGACACGGUGCCCGGACAGGCCACCUCAAGGGCUUCUUUAAUGGCGUCGAUCAGCUCAAAGCCGCGCAGCGACGGGUUGUUUGGCGGGCUGAGCUUCUCCGGCGUCGGGCUGAACGGGGUAGGAUCCAGGAGAACCGAAGCGUCACAGCCCUAAUAAGGUGAUCACCGACGACAGACUCGACAAAAUCAAUCAUCUAUAUAUCAAAGUACGUAUAACAUACAUGUUUGCAUUGCAAUUUAUUUCUUGCAAUGUACCUCGACGAAACAGUCGUGGAAGAGCAUUCGGAUCAUGGCGGCGCCAUUGCCGGGGUUCUGGGAGAUGGCCUCCAUCAUGACGCCCUUGACGACGGCCUCCGCCUGGGGGCACCUGUCGUGGUAGAACCCGAUCUGCAGAGGGCUGGCCCGGCACCCCACAGCGAGCAGCAGCAGCAAGGCACACGCCACCAGAACCUGCAGCUUCUUAACAGCAGCAGCCGCCAUUGUUUCAAGAUAGCUCGAGUUCUUGACUAAGAUUGAAAGAUGGGAAGUGGGAGGUGAUGGAUCGAUGGGUUGGGGAAUGCCUGUUAGCUGCUGUAUAUAGUUUCAGCAUGAUGCUGCUUAUAUAGGUGAACAUUCGAACUUUAGAAACGUAUAUUGUCAACUAGAACUGGCCAUGCAUGUGUUUCGUUGGAACGUUACUACGUACACCGGCCGGUAGUUGCCAUCAGCACUCGUCGACGUUCAGUUGGCUGACUGUGCUCCUCACAACCAGUGGGCGCCGGCGAUGAUAUGAUGAUACACGAUGAGUAUAUAGUAAGGAGUAACAAACAUUAGUUCACUUACCCUGAUUUUGUAGAAAAUGAGCUUACUAACCCUGAUGUAUAUAUGUCUGAACAGGUCAUGUGUAAGCUGGACCUGGACUGAGGCUAGCCAUUUUCUAGUAAUAGUAGCUAGAUCAAGCAGCCGCUGAUUGACGGGGAUGCGUGUUUUUCCGGCCGUUGAGAAGUCAUCAAUCAAGUUAAUUAAGAACAUUUCUUUUGUGUCGGUGUGUACGUGUGCUUCGUGUUUCAAAUCCGUAGUGCGAGAAAUUUCCUGGGAGCUAGUAGCUAGGCCACCUUGUUUAACAGGUAGAGCAAGCGUGCAUCAUUAAGUACUAAUUCCUUGGUAGGAACAGCCUAACAGGUAGAAGAUGUGAUGGGUGUAAUCACACGGAAAUUAAUUUAUGUUAUGUUGUGUGGAUUGAAAACAUGACAUUUAAUCUCAGUGAUCAAUGCCAAAUUUUGCAGUUAACCCUUGAUUCAGUGUAAAAUUUUGCAAGAAUACAUAUGAAGUCAACAUAUUCAGUGCAUGCAGAAUACUCGAAUUAACAGUGUGGCCAAAUGUAGUGUAUAGCGUGAAGAGAAAAGAAAGUGAAUAUAUGUCUCAGAUUCAUAUAUAUAUGAAAAAAUAUACAUAUAUAUAGGACGGCCGUUUGAGGCACCUAGAUAUGUAUAUAUAUUAACAUUUAUUGUAUCCUUAUAUAGCAUUUAUUGAUUCCUACAAUAAAUUACUAGGUAUGUACCUCGCCGUGUAUGUACGUAACUUUAUUAGUACGCAUAUGUAUACAUGCACAUGUAUAUAAUUUCGUUAGUAGGUAUUUACAUAUCCGCUUAUGUAUAUUAUUUUUCACUAGCUACAAAUUAUAAUAAAUCAUUGGGUAUAUAUAUACCCGCAUAUGUAUAUUAUUUUAUUAGUAGGUAUAUCAUAUCCACGUAUGUACAUAAUUUCGUUACUAGGUAUACAUAUAUAUCCGCAUACAUAUGUAAUGUUUUGACUAGCUGCAAACCAAAAUAAAUCACUAAAAAUAUAUACCCAUGUAUGUACAUUAUUUCAUAGUUAGGUAUUAUAUACCAAUGGUAUGUCUCUACGAUUUGGAGUCAAUGCCCAAUUUGUUGGUUUUAAACAAUAAUUUUUUUUUCAUGAAUACCUAAUGAAAUAAUCAAGGGAAAAUCUAAUGAGCUUCGUACGCACACAUGCUCUCCCGUGCAGCGGCCGCGCGCAUGUGUUAUACUAGCUAUUUGUAUUUUAAAAAUGAUUUAUCUUUCAAACCGUUAUACCAAUUAAUGAUCCAUUUUCAUCACUGACUUUAUCGCGACGAGAUCUUUAAAACUAGAUCCCAUGUUAACAUGUUUCGAUAAUUUUUGUUUUCGUCGGUACUUGCCAGAUUAUUAUGACUUACUUGUCAUAUUAUUUGUUAUAUAGUUCUGACAUUAAAUUAACUUGGUUAUCACAUUCAUGAAUGAGUAAAAAACUUGAUUCAUUAUACUUGUGCUGAUUCAAGCAUUAGCUUUUUCGUUAAUAGUGCUUUAAUACCCACGUUUUAGCUUCACAGAACAUUGUAAUACUUAAAAAGUAUAAAAUUAUUGUCAUGAUAACUAUGUAUAAUUUUUGUGACAACUGUACAUCCGUAAGAUGACAACUAUGAUGACAUAAAUGUGGCAACUAGGAACGACGAAAAAAAAUCAACGAAACAUGUCAAUAUGGGAUCUUAUUUUAAAGGUUUUGUCGAGACGAACCUAACCGUGAAGGGGAAUCUCCAAUCAAAUCAUUAAUUUAUGAGAUAAAACAUUUUUAAGAUUGACAAUAAAUAUGCAUAAGAUGUUGACUAGGACUCCAAAACGUUUUGCAUGCAUGCGCUGUUAAAAUGCUUCUUUUCCUCAUUGAGAUGCAUGCAAGAGUACAAGUUUUUGCUAACCUAAGAGCCGUAUUUAUAUAAUUUUUUAAUCCAGAAACAUGUCCUUAAAUGCGAUUUGCGCCUUGAUCAGCCAGCCGCCGCACGGGAAGGCAGCCGUGCGGCGCCGCUCCGUAGCGAGCUCCAAUAAUCAAUGUCUAUCUAUACAUGUAUCCAUCUAUACAUAGAAGGUUCACUAACUGGCGAGUCACAUUGUGCGUACAUGCAUGUAUACCUUGAUCUAGAAAAAAAAUGCAUGUAAAUAUGUAUACCUAUUUCCUUUUAUUUUAUUAUUCUCUCUCCACGAAUUAAUGUGCGUUUUAAUUCCUUCCAAAUCAAUAAAUCUUAAUAAAUUGACAUGCAAACUAUUAAAUGCUAGGUGCCUGGGCACCGAGGUGCCCCAAACAAUUUACCUAUGCAUAAGAGCAUCUCUAACAGCCACGCGAUAUAAGCGCCGCGCUGAAAAAGUUAUGUUUUGCGCGCGCAGCCGCUUCGGCCGCUCCAGCGGAGGCAAAAAAACGCACACACGGCAUAAAUGGCUCAGCGCGCUGCUUAUUUCAUGUCUCCGUUCCCGCGCGCUGCACACUCGAGCGCUCGCGUCGCAUCCUCUCCGACCGUGACGCCUUCGUCCCGUCCGCGCCACCGCCGGCGAAUUCGCCCAAUGUACGGCCGCGCCAACAUCCCCUUCACCCCUUCCUACGCUCGCGCCCCGCCGCUGCCGGCGCAAACCCUAGCACGGGGAGCUCUGGCUUCGCCUCCGCCGAUGCUCCUCCAACCACCGGUCUCGCGCGCGACCUUUUCAUAGCGCCACGGACGACCUCGGCGGUGGGUAGCGUCGCGCCGACGGCCGCCAUGAAGCUACGUGCCCCCCUCUCGAAGCUCCCAAAUGCGGCGGUGGCGAAGAAGGGCAAGGUCACUAGUAGAAAACAGGGCAUUGAGCCAACCACAUUGGACCCGGAUUGGAUAUAAACCGGUUCUAAAGGGUCUGUCUGCUGGGCCCCCUCCUUGCAGCAAAUGGCCGCAAGGCCUUUAGGACCGGUUUGUAACACAAACCGGUCCUAAAGGUUUUUGGACCGUUUGCUGCAGGAGGGGGGCCCAGUGGACAGACCCUUUAGAACCGGUUUGUAUCACAAACCGGUGCUAAAGGUUUUCUCAUUUUUGCAGCAACUGCGGGGCCCCGCUGUCAGACCCUUUAGCACCGGUUUUUGACACAAACCGGUCCUAAAGCCCUCCUCUCCUUCCUCCCCGAGCACCCCUAUAUUCCACCCCAUUAUUUCUAGCUCCAUUUUUUCUAGCUCGAGCUCAACUCCAUUUUUGCUCUCUCCUUCCUCUUGGGAGCUCUAAUCCAUCCCCAUUUUUCUCCACCAUUUGUCAAGAUUGUUGGCACCCAUCGGUCCUACGAUUAGCAUCAACAUUCCCUCUUCCGGUAUUGCAAGUUUUGCUCGUUUUCUUGCUCAUUUCAUUUUUGUUGUGCAAGCUAGGUGUUUGAUGAAAUGCCUAAGCUAGAGAGAGUUCAUCAUUUGUUAUGUAUACAUAUGCAAUUUGAGCUCAAAUUUAAUUAUGAUUUGUGGUUUUUUUUAGUGUCGCGCGCCUUGUCCCCUCCUCACCGCCGUCGAUCGCCCCGUCACCGACACAACCUUGGUGAGCCUAUUGUUUUUAUUUACCAAAACAAAUUUUGAUUUGUAUGAUUUACAUAUUUACUUGUAUAUAAUUUUCUUAUUGUGUAAGAUUUUUUUAUAUAUAUAGCGCCAUGGUUUUGAUAUCCGUCCCCGUUGGCCCUCGUCCAGUCUAUGAUUCGGAUGUGGUAUAUUAUCUUUUAUAACUACAUAUUUUCAUUUCCUGAUUAUAUGACAAUUAAUUACGCCGACCAACUUGACAUAGAUAUUUUUAUCUAGGAGGUAGUGGAACCGGAAAUGCCAAUCGACCCUAUUGUUGAGAAGUUACACUUAGUUGAACAAGAUGUUGGCCUGAAAGAAAGAUUGAAAAAAACUGAAGAAAGGUUGGAAAAAACUGAAAGAGAGAAGAUGACCUUGGAAAAGGUUCUUGCCGGUGUCGUCGAUGGUCACAAGAGCGAGAUGGACGCAAUGCGUCUGAAGAUUAGAAAGAUUAGAAAAUAUGCAAUUAGUAAAGAGGCUUGGUAUCAUUAUGCCGUCGGGUCAAUUGUUACCUUUGUUGCGAUUUUGAUCGCAUUUGUUGUUGUUUUUAAAUGCAUUAAUUAGAGAGAGUUUUUUAUGGUUGGUUUCACUGUGUGUUUUUAUGAGAACUAUAUAUGUAUGGUCACUACGCUACUUUGGUUUUAACGUGUGAUGAACUUUUUGUAUUAAUUAAUUAAUUUAGUCAUGAUGAUUUAGCAUAAUGGUUUUUGAUAAAUUUAUAUAAUGCAGAUGAACCGGCAAUGGAUGUACAGUGAUCGACGUCGUCCCGAAUUUCUUAAUGGCAUGCAUAGUUUUCUCAAUGUGGCUGAGAAAAACAGGCAGAAUGGAUUUAUUUUUUGUCCAUGUAAAAAAUGCCAGAAUAAGAGGAAUUUCCCUAACUCAAGAACCAUACACACCCACCUGUUGCAAGAAGGCUUCAUGCCAAGUUAUUUUUGUUGGACCAAGCACGGAGAAAGAGGGGUUGUAAUGGAAGACAAUGAAGAAGAAGAGGAUAAUGAUAACUAUCCUAUGUUCGGUGAACACGGUGAUACUGAAAUGGGGGAAGACGAGCCUGAACUUGAGGACAUUGUUGAUGAGUCUGAUGAUGAUCUUCGUCAGGUCAUUCGUGAAGAACAGAUAAACUGCGGAAGUGAAAACGAGAGGUUGAAGUUGGAGCGCAUGUUAGAAGAUCACAAAAAAUUGUUGUACCCAAAUUGUGAAGAUGGCCAGAAAAAGCUGGGCACCACCCUGGAAUUGCUGCAAUGGAAGGCAGAGAAUGGAAUAUCUGACAAGGGAUUUGAAAAGCUGCUGAAAAUAAUGAAGAAGAUGCUUCCAAGAGAUAACGUGCUGCCCUGCAGUACGUACGAAGCAAAGAAGGUUGUCUGCCCUCUAGGAUUGGAAGUGCAUAAGAUACAUGCAUGCAUCAAUGACUGCAUCCUCUACCGCGGUCAGCACGAGAAUUUAAAUGCCUGCCCGGUAUGCGGUGCAUUUCGGUAUAAGAUCAGGCGAGAUGACCCUGGUGAUGUUGAGGGCGACGACCGCCCCAGCAAGAGGGUUCCUGCCAAGGUGAUGUGGCAUGCUCCUAUAAUACCACGGUUGAAACGUUUGUUCCGAAACAAAGAGCAUGCCAAGUUGCUGCGAUGGCGCAAAGAAGACCGGAGGGAAGACGAUAUGCUGAGACAACCCGCUGAUGGGUCGCAGUGGAGAAACAUCGACGAUAAGUACGAGGACUUUGCACGUGACCCAAUAAACUUAAGGUUUGGUCUAAGUACAGAUGGCCUGAAUCCGUUUGGGGAGCAGAGUAGCAGUCAUAGCACCUGGCCCGUGACUCUAUGUAUCUAUAACCUUCCUCCUUGGUUAUGCAUGAAGCGUAAGUUCAUUAUGAUGCCAGUGCUUAUCCCAGGCCCGUCGCAACCCGGCAACAACAUUGAUGUGUACCUGAGGCCACUGGUUGAUGAACUUUUAGAGUUAUGGGCUGACGAAGGUGUACGUGUGUGGGACGAGUACAAACAGGAGGAAUUUGACCUACGAGGGUUGUUGUUUGUAACCAUCAAUGAUUGGCCCGCUCUUAGUAACAUCUCAGGACAGUCAAACAAGGGAUACAGCGCAUGCACACACUGUUUAGGCGAGACUGAAAGUAUACAUAUAGGCAAGAAUGUGUACCCGGGGCAUCGUCGAUUUCUUCCAGACAGGCAUCCCGUAAGAAAGAAAGGAAAGCAUUUCAAAGGCGAGGCAGAUACACGGAGGAAGCCAACCCUCCCUAAAGGUACUGAUAUAUAUGACAUGGUCAAAGAUAUAAAAGUAAUCUUUGGUAAGGGUCCUGGCGCACAAUCUGUUCCGAAUGACGCCGACAACCACGUAGCCAUGUGGAAGAAGAAAUCUAUAUUCUGGGAACUACCCUAUUGGAAAUUCCUAGAGGUUCGCUCUGCGAUCGACAUGAUGCACGUGACGAAAACUAUUUGCGUGAACCUGCUAAACUUAUUGGGCGUGCAUGGGAAGAAGUCGAGAGAUACACCAAAAGCACGGCUGCACCACCAACGUAUGCACGAACGAGACGACCUGAUGAAUCGAGAGAAUUUCAAAGGUCCUGCCAGCUACGCUCUUACCAAGGAAGAGAAGGAGAUCUUUUUCCAAGUCCUGAGCAGUAUCAAGGUCCCGUCUGGCUACUCGUCGAACAUAAAAGGAAUACUAAACCUGGAAGAGAAAAAGUUCCAAAACCUAAAGUCUCAUGACUGCCACGUGAUCAUGACCCAGUUACUUCCGAUUGCAUUGAGGGGGCUUCUGCCAGAAAACGUGUGAGUACCCAUUGUGAAGCUAUGUGCAUUCCUCAACGCAAUUUCUCAGAAGGCAAUCGAUCCAGCAACUCUACCAAGUUUACAGAAGGACGUGAUCCAAUGUCUUGUCAGCUUCGAGUUGGUGUUCCCACCAACCUUCUUCAAUAUUAUGACGCACCUCAUAGUUCACCUAGUCCAAGAGAUUUCCGUUCUGGGUCCUGUAUUCUUACACAAUAUGUUCCCCUUUGAGAGGUUCACGGGAGUCUUGAAGAAUUAUGUUAAAAACCGUGCUAGGCCAGAAGGAAGCAUGGUCAAGGGCUAUGGAACAGAGGAGGUCAUUGAGUUUUGUGUUGACUUUAUUCCUGACCUGAACCCGAUCGGUGUUCCUCAGUCGCGCCAUGAGGGGAGACUGCGUGGAAAAGGCACGCUAGGAAAGAAAUCAACAACAUGUAUGGACGAGCAAUCUUUCACUCAAGCACACUACACAGUUCUAGUUAAUUCCAGCUUGGCGGCUCCAUAUAUCCAGGAACACAAGGAUAUUUUACGCUUGGAAUACCCGGAGCAACCUGAAGAUUUCAUUGCUAAAGAACACGCGAAGACUUUCGGCGGUUGGUUGCAAAGACGUCUCAUUAAUGACAACAUUGUUGAAGAUGAGCUAUACUUGUUGGCCAAGCAACCAUCUUCGACUGUAUUGACCUUUAAAGGGUACGAGAUAAAUGGUAACACAUUUUACACGGCAGACCAAGAUAAAAAGAGCACCAACCAAAACAGUGGCGUCCGGUUUGAUGCAAAAGACGACAAUGGGCAAAGGGUCACAUACUAUGGUUACAUAGAGCAGAUAUGGGAACUUGACUACGGACCUUCCUUUAAGGUCCCUUUGUUCUGGUGCAAAUGGUUCAACCUGUCAGGCGUGAAGGUAGACCCGAAGUACGGAAUGACAACAGUGGAUCAGAAGAAUCUUGGGUACGGCAAUGAUCAAUUCGUCCUAGCCAAUGAUGUGGCUCAGGUUUUCUAUGUGAAGGACAUGUCUAGCAGACCGAGAAAAAGAAAAGAUAAGCAAGCGAAUACAUCAGACGAUGAGCCAAGGCGCCACAUAGUUCUUUCAGGGAAAAGAAACAUCGUGGGACUCGAGGACAAGACAGACAUGUGAGAAGAUUACAAUAAAUUUGAUGAAAUUCCUCCCUUCAAAGUCAAAGAUGAUCCAAGCAUCCCGUUAAAUGAUGAAGAUAGUCCAUGGUUACAGCGCAAUCAGAAGAAAGACAAGAAGAAAAAUAGAUAAGGGGUGUUGUUGGUGAUGUGUAAUAAUGUAUUAAACCUUUUAUGUAAUUGUGUUGACCAUUUUGAUAAAUAUUAAAAAUUUGACCAAUUUCCACUAAAUUUGACCAUUUUGAUAAAUAUCAUUUUUAGUUUUAAGUGUAAAAUGACAUUUUGACAAUUUAUAAAUAAAUGUAAAAGAAAACAGAAAAGGGAACAAAAAAGAAAAUAAAAAGAAACAAGGAAAAAAGGAAAACAAAAAGAAAAAGAAAACAAGGAAACAAAAAAAGGRAAAAAGGAAAAAUAAAAAGAAAAGAAACNNNNNNNNNNNNNNNNNNNNNNNNNNNNNNNNNNNNNNNNNNNNNNNNNNNNNNNNNNNNNNNNNNNNNNNNNNNNNNNNNNNNNNNNNNNNNNNNNNNNCCACAAAUACCUAUGGGCUUCCCCGGAGUGGGUUGCCCCCCUCCAGUGAACCCCCGGAACCCAUUCGUCAUUCCCGGUACAUUCCCGGUAACUCCGAAAACCUUCCGGUAAUCAAAUGAGGUCAUCCUAUAUAUCAAUCUUCGUUUCCGGACCAUUCCGGAAACCCUCGUGACGUCCGUGAUCUCAUCCGGGACUCCGAACAACAUUCGGUAACCAACCAUAUAACUCAAAUACGCAUAAAACAACGUCGAACCUUAAGUGUGCAGACCCUGCGGGUUCGAGAACUAUGUAGACAUGACCCGAGAGACUCCUCGGUCAAUAUCCAAUAGCGGGACCUGGAUGCCCAUAUUGGAUCCUACAUAUUCUACGAAGAUCUUAUCGUUUGAACCUCAGUGCCAAGGAUUCGUAUAAUCCCGUAUAUCAUUCCCUUUGUCCUUCGGUAUGUUACUUGCCCGAGAUUCGAUCGUCAGUAUCCGCAUACCUAUUUCAAUCUCGUUUACCGGCAAGUCUCUUUACUCGUUCCGCAAUACAAGAUCCCGCAACUUACACUAAGUUACAUUGCUUGCAAGGCUUGUGUGUGAUGUUGUAUUACCGAGUGGGCCCCGAGAUACCUCUCCGUCACACGGAGUGACAAAUCCCAGUCUUGAUCCAUACUAACUGAACUAACACCUUCGGAGAUACCUGUAGAGCAUCUUUAUAGUCACCCAGUUACGUUGCGACGUUUGAUACACACAAAGCAUUCCUCCGGUGUCAGUGAGUUAUAUGAUCUCAUGGUCAUAGGAAUAAAUACUUGACACGCAGAAAAACAGUAGCAAUAAAAUGACACGAUCAACAUGCUACGUCUAUUAGUUUGGGUCUAGUCCAUCACGUGAUUCUCCCAAUGACGUGAUCCAGUUAUCAAGCAACAACACCUUGUUCAUAAUCAGAAGACACUGACUAUCAUCGAUCAACUAGCUAGCCAACUAGAGGCAUGCUAGGGACGGUGUUUCGUCUAUGUAUCCACACAUGUAAAUGAGUCUUCAUUCAAUACAAUUAUAGCAUGGAUAAUAAACUAUUAUCUUGAUACAGGAAUUAUAAUAAUAACUAUACAUUUAUUAUUGCCUCUAGGGCAUAAUUCCAACAGUCUCCCACUUGCACUAGAGUCAAUAAUCUAGCCCUCACAUCACCAUGUGAAUCACAUUGUAAUAAAUCUAACACCCAUACAGUUCUGGUGUCGAUCAUGUUUUGGCCGUGGAAGAGGUUUAGUCAGCGGGUCUGCUACAUUCAGAUCCGUGUGCACUUUGCAUAUAUUUACGUCCUCCUCCUCGACGUAGUCGCGGAUGAGGUUGAAGCGUCGUUUGAUGUGUCUGGUCUUCUUGUGAAACCUUGGUUCCUUUGCUAAGGCAAUGGCACCAGUGUUGUCACAGAACAAGGUUAUUGGAUCCAGUGCACUUGGCACCACUCCAAGAUCCGUCAUGAACUGCUUCAUCCAGACACCCUCCUUAGCCGCCUCCGAGGCAGCCAUGUACUCUGCUUCACAUGUAGAAUCUGCUACGACGCUUUGCUUGGAACUGCACCAGCUUACUGCACCCCCAUUAAGAAUAAAUAUGUAUCCGGUUUGCGACUUAGAGUCGUCCGGAUCUGUGUCAAAGCUUGCAUCGACGUAACCUUUUACGGCGAGCUCUUCGUCACCUCCAUACACGAGAAACAUCUCCUUAGUCCUUUUCAGGUACUUCAGGAUAUUCUUGACCGCCGUCCAGUGAUCCACUCCCGGAUUACUCUGGAACCUACCUGCCAUACUUAUGGCCAGGCUAACAUCCGGUCUAGUGCACAGCAUCGCAUACAUGAUAGAGCCUAUGGCUGAAGCAUAGGGGACGGAGCGCAUAUGCUCUCUAUCCUCAUCAGUUGCUGGGCACUGAGUCUUACUCAAUCUCGUACCUUGUAACACUGGCAAGAACCCUUUCUUGGACUGUUCCAUUUUGAACCUCUUCAAAACUUUAUCAAGGUAUGUGCUUUGUGAAAGUCCUAUCAGGCGUUUUGAUCUAUCCCUAUAGAUCUUAAUGCCUAGAAUGUAAGCAGCUUCUCCUAGGUCCUUCAUAGAGAAACUUUUAUUCAAGUAACCUUUUAUGCUCUCCAAAAGCUCUACGUUGUUUCCAAUCAGUAAUAUGUCAUCCACAUAUAAUAUUAGAAACGCCACAGAGCUCCCACUCACCUUUUUGUAAAUACAAGAUUCUCCAACCACUUGUAUAAACCCAAAUGCUUUGAUCACCUCAUCAAAGCGUUUGUUCCAACUCCGAGAUGCUUGCACCAGUCCAUAAAUGGAUCGCUGGAGCUUGCACACCUUGUCAGCAUUUUUAGGAUCGACAAAACCUUCGGGUUGCAUCAUAUACAACUCUUCCUUAAGUAACCGUUAAGGAACGCCGUUUUGACAUCCAUCUGCCAAAUUUCAUAAUCGAAAAAUGCAGCUAUUGCUAACAUGAUUCUGACGGACUUAAGCAUCGCUACGGGAGAGAAAGUCUCAUCGUAGUCAAUUCCUGGAACUUGUGAAAAACCCUUUGCCACAAGUCAAGCUUUAUAAACGGUCGCAUUACCGUCAGCGUCCGUCUUCUUCUUAAAGAUCCAUUUGUUCUGAAUAGCCUUGCGGCCCUCAGGCAGCAUCUCCAAAGUCCACACUUUGUUCUCAUACAUGGAUCCUAUCUCGGAUUUCAUGGCUUCUAGCCAUUUGUUGGAAUCUGGGCCCACCAUUGCUUCUUCAUAAUUUGCAGGUUCAUUGUUGUCUAACAACAUGAUUGAUAAGACGGGAUUACCGUACCACUCUGGAGCAGCACGUGAUCUCGUCGACCUGCGUGGUUCAACAGAAACUUGAAUUGGAGUUUCAUGAUCAUCAUCAUCAACUUCCUCCUCAACCGGCGUCGCAAUGACAGAGGUUUCCCCUUGCCCUGCGCCACCAUCCAGAGGGAUGAGAGGUUCGACAACCUCGUCAAGUUCUAUCUUCCUCCCACUCAAUUCUCUCGAGAGAAACUCCUUCUCGAGAAAAGUUCCGUUCUUAGCAACAAACACUUUGCCCUCGGAUUUGAGAUAGAAGGUGUACCCAACUGUCUCUUUUGGGUAACCUAUGAAGACGCACUUUUCCGCUUUGGGUUCCAGCUUUUCAGGCUGAAGCUUUUUGACAUAAGCAUCACAUCCCCAAACUUUAAGAAACGACAACUUUGGCCUUUUGCCAUACCACAGUUCAUAUGGUGUCGUCUCAACGGAUUUCGAUGGUGCCCUAUUUAAAGUGAAUGCAGCUGUUUCUAAUGCAUAACCCCAAAAUGAUAACGGCAAAUCAGUAAGAGACAUCAUAGAUCGCACCAUUUCUAACAAAGUACGAUUACGACGUUCGGACACACCAUUACGCUGUGGUGUUCCAGGCGGUGUUAACUGCGAAACAAUUCCACAUUGUUUUAAGUGAGUACCAAACUCGAAACUCAGAUAUUCACCCCCACGAUCAGACCGUAGGAACUUGAUCUUCUUGUUACGAUGAUUUUCCACUUCACUCUGAAAUUGCUUGAACUUUUCAAAUGUUUCAGACUUGUGCUUCAUCAAGUAGACAUAACCAUAUCUACUUAAAUCGUCAGUGAAGGUGAGAAAGUAACCAUAUCCGCCACGUGCCUCCACGCUCAUUGGACCACACACAUCGGUAUGUAUGAUUUCCAACAAGUCACUUGCACGCUCCAUUGUUCCGGAGAACGGAGUCUUAGUCAUCUUGCCCAUGAGGCAUGGUUCGCACGUGUCAAGUGAAUCAAAGUCAAGUGACUCCAAAAGUCCAUCAGCAUGGAGUUUCUUCAUGCGCUUUACACCAAUAUAACCCAAGCGGCAGUGCCAUAAAAAUAUGGCGCUAUCAUUGUUUACUCUAACUCUUUUGGUCUCAAUGUUAUGUAUAUGCGUAUCUCUAUCAAGAUUCAAUAUGAACAAUCCUCUCACAUUCGGUGCAUGACCAUAAAAGAUGUUACUCAUAGAAAUAGAACAACCAUUAUUCUCAAACUUAAAAGAGUAACCGUCUCGCAAUAAACAAGAUCCAGAUAUAAUGUUCAUGCUCAACGCAGGCACUAAAUAACAAUGAUUUAAGUUCAUCACUAAUCCCGAUGGUAGUUGAAGUGACACUGUGCCGACGGCGAUUGCAUCAACCUUGGAACCGUUUCCUACGCGCAUCGUCACUUCGUCUUUCGCCAGCCUUCGUCUAUUCCGCAGUUCCUGCUUCGAGUUGCAAAUGUGAGCAACAGAACCGGUAUCGAAUACCCAGGCACUACUACGAGAGCUGGUUAAGUACACAUCAAUAACAUGUAUAUCAAAUAUACCUGAUUUUUCUUUGCCCGCCUUCUUAUCUGCCAGAUACUUGGGGCAAUUGCGCUUCCAGUGACCCAUACCCUUGCAAUAGAAGCACUCUGUUUCAGGCUUAGGUCCAGCCUUGGGUUUCUUCGGCGGAUUGGCAACAGGCUUGCCGCUCUUCUUCGAAUUGCCCUUCUUGCCUUUGCCGUUUCUCUUGAAACUAGUGGUCUUGCUCACCAUCAACACUUGAUGCUCUUUACGGAGUUCAGACUCUGCGACUUUCAGCAUCGCAAACAACUCGCCGGGAGACUUGUUCAUCCCUUGCAUGUUGUAGUUCAACACGAAGCCUUUGUAGCUUGGCGGCAGUGAUUGAAGGAUUCUGUCAGUGAUAGCUUCUUGCGGGAGUUCAAUCCCCAGUUCAGCCAAACGGUUUGAGUACCCAGACAUUUUGAGCACAUGUUCACUGACAGACGAGUUUUCCUCCAUCUUGCAAGCAUAGAAUUUAUCGGAGGUCUCAUACCUCUCGAUCCGGGCGUUCUUCUGAAAGAUAAACUUCAACUCCUGGAACAUCUCAAAAGCUCCAUGACGCUCAAAGCGACGUUGAAGUCCCGGUUCUAAGCCAUACAAGACUGCACAUUGAACUAUUGAGUAGUCCUCCUUACGUGCUAACCAAGCGUUCUUAACAUCCUGAUCAGCCGUAGCGGGUGGUUCAUCUCCUAGCGCAGCAUUAAGGACAUAAUCCUUCUUUCCAGCUUGUAAGAUUAUCUUAAGAUUACGAGCCCAGUCUACAAAGUUGCUUCCAUCAUCUUUCAACUUAGCUUUCUCUAGGAACGUAUUAAAAUUGAGGAUGACACUUGCGUGAGCCAUGAUCUACAACACAAAUAUAUUCAAAGUGGACUUUAUACUAUGUUCAAGAUAAUUAGAGUUCAACUUAAUCAAAUUAUAUGCUAAACUCCCACUCAAAAAGUACAUCUCUCUAGUCAUUUGAGUGGUUCAUGAUCCACUUACACUAUCCCAAGUCCGAUCAUCACGUGAGCCGAGAGUAGUUUCAGUGGUAAGCAUCCCUAUGCUAAUCAUAUCAACUAUAUGAUUCAUGAUCGACCUUUCGGUCUCAUGUGUUCCGAGGCCAUGUCUGCACAUGCUAGGCUCGUCAAGCUUAACCCGAGUGUUCCGCGUGCGCAACUGUUUUGCACCCGUUGUAUGUGAACGUUGAGUCUAUCACACCCGAUCAUCACGUGGUGUCUCGAAACGACGAACUGUAGCAACGGUGCACAGUCGGGGAGAACACAAUUUCGUCUUGAAAUUUUAGUGAGAGAUCACCUCAUAAUGCUACCGUCGUUCUAAGAAAAAUAAGGUGCAUAAAAGGAUUAACAUCACAUGCAAUUCAUAAGUGACAUGAUAUGGCCAUCAUCACGUGCUUCUUGAUCUCCAUCACUAAAGCACCGGCACGAUCUUCUUGUCACCGGCGCCACACCAUGAUCUCCAUCAUCAUGGUCUCCAUCAACGUGUCGCCAUCGGGGUUGUCGUGCUACUUAUGCUAUCACUACUAAAGCUACAUCCUAGCAAAAUAGUAAACGCAUCUGCAAGCACAUAUGUUAGUAUAAAGACAACCCAAUGGCUCCUGCCGGUUGCCGUACCAUCGACAUGCAAGUCGAUAUUUCUAUUACAACAUGAUCAUCUCAUACAUCCAAUAUAUCACAUCACAUUGUUUGGCCAUAUCACAUCACAAUCAUACCCUGCAAAAACAAGUUAGACGUCCUCUAAUUUUGUUGUUGCAUGUUUUACGUGGUGACCAAGGGUAUCUAGUAGGAUCGCAUCUUACUUACGCAAACACCACAACGGAGAUAUAUGAGUUGCUAUUUAACCUCAUCCAAGGACCUCCUCGGUCAAAUCCGAUUCAACUAAAGUUGGAGAAACCGUCACUUGCCAGUCAUCUUUGAGCAAAGGGGGUUACUCGUAACGAUGAAACCAGUCUCUCGUAAGCGUACGAGUAAUGUCGGUCCAAGCCGCUUCAAUCCAACAAUACCGCGGAAUCAAGAAAAGACUAAGGAGGGCAGCAAAACGCACAUCACCGCCCACAAAACCUUUUGUGUUCUACUCGAGAAGACAUCUACGCAUGAACCUAGCUCAUGAUGCCACUGUUGGGGAACGUCGCAUGGGAAACAAAAAUUUUCCUACGCGCACGAAGACCUAUCAUGGUGAUGUCCAUCUACGAGAGGGGAUGAGUGAUCUACGUACCCUUGUAGAUCGUACAGCAGAAGCGUUUAGAGAACGCGGUUGAUGUAGUGGAACGUCCUCACGUCCCUCGAUCCGCCCCGCGAACAAUCCCGCGAUCAGUCCCACGAUCUAGUACCGAACGGACGGCACCUCCGCGUUCAGCACACGUACAGCUCGACGAUGAUCUCGGCCUUCUUGAUCCAGCAAGAGAGACGGAGAGGUAGAAGAGUUCUCCGGCAGCAUGACGGCGCUCCGGAGGUUGGUGAUGAUCUUGUCUCAGCAGGGCUCCGCCCGAGCUCCGCAGAAUCACGAUCUAGAGGAAAAACUAUGGAGGUAUGUGGUCGGGCAGCCGUGAGAAAGUCGUCUCAAAUCUGCCCUAAAAGCCCCAUAUAUAUAGGAGGAGGGAGGGGGACCUUGCCUUGGGGUCCAAGGGAACCCCAAGGGGUCGGCCGAGCCAGGGGGGAGGACUCUCCCCCCCCAAACCGAGUCCUACUUGGUUUGGUGGGAGGGAGUCCUUCCCCCUUCCCACUUCUUCCUCUUUUUUUUUCUUCCUUUGAUUUUUUCUUCCUUGGCGCAUAGGAUUUGGUGGGCUGUCCCACCAGCCCACUAAGGACUGGUGUGACCCCCACAAAUACCUAUGGGCUUCCCCGGAGUGGGUUGCCCCCCUCCGGUGAACCCCCGGAACCCAUUCGUCAUUCCCGGUACAUUCCCGGUAACUCCGAAAACCUUCCGGUAAUCAAAUGAGGUCAUCCUAUAUAUCAAUCUUCGUUUCCGGACCAUUCCGGAAACCCUCGUGACGUCCGUGAUCUCAUCCGGGACUCCGAACAACAUUCGGUAACCAACCAUAUAACUCAAAUACGCAUAAAACAACGUCGAACCUUAAGUGUGCAGACCCUGCGGGUUCGAGAACUAUGUAGACAUGACCCGAGAGACUCCUCGGUCAAUAUCCAAUAGCGGGACCUGGAUGCCCAUAUUGGAUCCUACAUAUUCUACGAAGAUCUUAUCGUUUGAACCUCAGUGCCAAGGAUUCAUAUAAUCCCGUAUGUCAUUCCCUUUGUCCUUCGGUAUGUUACUUGCCCGAGAUUCGAUCGUCAGUAUCCGCAUACCUAUUUCAAUCUCGUUUACCGGAAAGUCUCUUUACUCGUUCCGCAAUACAAGAUCCCGCAACUUACACUAAGUUACAUUGCUUGCAAGGCUUGUGUGUGAUGUUGUAUUACCGAGUGGGCCCCGAGAUACCUCUCCGUCACACGGAGUGACAAAUCCCAGUCUUGAUCCAUACUAACUGAACUAACACCUUCGGAGAUACCUGUAGAGCAUCUUUAUAGUCACCCAGUUACGUUGCGACGUUUGAUACACACAAAGCAUUCCUCCGGUGUCAGUGAGUUAUAUGAUCUCAUGGUCAUAGGAAUAAAUACUUGACACGCAGAAAAACAGUAGCAAUAAAAUGACACGAUCAACAUGCUACGUCUAUUAGUUUGGGUCUAGUCCAUCACGUGAUUCUCCCAAUGACGUGAUCCAGUUAUCAAGCAACAACACCUUGUUCAUAAUCAGAAGACACUGACUAUCAUCGAUCAACUAGCUAGCCAACUAGAGGCAUGCUAGGGCGUGUUUCGCUAUGUAUCCACACAUGUAAAUGAUCUUCANNNNNNNNNNNNNNNNNNNNNNNNNNNNNNNNNNNNNNNNNNNNNNNNNNNNNNNNNNNNNNNNNNNNNNNNNNNNNNNNNNNNNNNNNNNNNNNNNNNNAUGAUGUUUUGACUCACAUCGUCGUAAUUUAUAUGUAGAUUUGAUCCCCUCAAACGGUUUACGACGAUCUCGGAUGAAAUUGUCAUAGAUUUAUGACGAAUUCAUCAACGACAUUUUAAAAAACAUCGCAUAUGAGCAUAUUUCUUGUAGUGGUAGUGUUGUAUGACUGGUGAAUGAUCGGUCCCCCUUGCAUGGAGGGCGACCGGGGGGUUUUAUAGACGAACCCGCCGGCCUACAAUAUGGAUAAAGGGUACAAGUGUGGGACCCGGCCGGCGGCCUCGCCGGCUGGUCGGGGGCCCACAAGAGUCUUGUCUUGUCGCUUGAGGGGCCCGCCGGCUGCAUGGUCUCAAUUAUGCGUGGGACCCGCCGGCUGGCCAAUGAGGCUCUCGCGUAAGGUUGACGCCGAGCACGCGCUGUACGUCAAGCGUCGCCCCGCGAGAUUCGUCAUGGGCAGGUAGUACGGCCGCCUCCACUGUUCCCCGCGCCGAGUGCAGUAAUGGAGUGGGAGUGUGAUGGUCCGAUAGUAUGCUAGAUGAUGGAUCAGAGCCGGGGUAGGUCAACGGCGUGGCCGCCGACGCUCGUACCUGUCGGACGCCCUGAUCCAGUACCUUUGCUGACGCGUAGCUACCUUUAAUCGUGAGGUCUUAUUGUGACCUACGAUCUGAUAUGACUUGUGCUCUUCGGCCGGCUAGCCUGCUUGGCUAGCCGGCUUAUGUGUAGCCGCCUCCUCCCUAGCCCGGCUGGCGGGACAAGGCCGACUCGGAAGAGGAGGCCGCCUCGUCUCUAGCCGGCUGGGGUUGCCCGGCCGGCCAAAGGGAUGGCCGCCUCAUCCUCUAGCCGGUAGACGUUGCCUAGCCGGCCAGAAGACUUGGGCCUUGGGGAAUCUGUAUACGUUCAUGUCCAUUCGGCCGGAAAUGGAGGAACAGGCUCGAUGAGCCUACCCCGGGGUCAUCCCCCCGACAAGUGUUGUCACUUGAUAACUCGAAGACUUCAUUAGGAGAAUCAUGUGAUGGACUAGACCCAAAUUAUGAACGUAGCAUAUUGAUCGUGUCAUUUUGUUGCUAUUGUUUUCUGCGUGUCAAGUAUUUAUUCCUAUGACCAUGAGAUCAUAUAACUCACUGGCACCGGAGGAAUACCUUGUGUGUAUCAAACGUCGUAACGUAACUGGGUGACUAUAAAGGUACUCUACAGGUAUCUCCGAAGGUGUCCGUUGAGUUAGUAUUUAUCAAGACUGGGAUUUGUCACUCCGUGUGACGGAGAGGUAUCUCGGGGCCCACUCGGUAAUACAACAUCACAAACAAGCCUUGCAAGAAAUGUGACUAAGUGUAAGUCACGGGAUCUUGUAUUACGGAACGAGUAAAGAGACUUGCUGGUAACGAGAUUGAAAUAGGUAUACAGAUACUGACGAUCGAAUCUCGGGCAAGUAACAUACCGAAGGACAAAGGGAAUGACAUACGAGAUUAUAUGAAUCCUUGGCACUGAGGUUCAACCUAUAAGAUUUUCGGAGAAUAUGUAGCAUCCAAUAUGGGCAUCCAGGUCCCGCUAUUGGAUAUUGACCGAGGAGUGUCUCGGGUCAUGUCUACAUAGUUCUCGAACCCGCAGGGUGUGGACACUUAAGGUUUGUUGAUAUUUUAGUAUAGUUGAGUUAUAUGUGUGGUUACCAAAUGUUGUUCGGAGUCCCGCAUGAGAUCACAGACGUCAUGAGGGUUUCCGGAAUGGUCCGGAAACGAAGAUUGAUAUAUAGGAUGGUUUCGGGCAUUUCCGGCAGUGUACCGGGAGUGACUAAUGGGUUUCGGGUGUUUACCGGGAGGGGCCCAUCCACCUGGGAGUGAGCCCAUGGCCUUAGGGUGGCGCACCAAGUCCUUAGUGGGGUGGUGGAGCCAGUCCAAAAGGGCUAUGGCGCCACAAGUAAAAAUACCAAAGGAAAGCAAAAAAAGGAAAGAGGGAGGUGGGUAGGAAGAGGAGAACUCCUCCUUCCCAAACCGAAUUAGAGGAGGAGUCCUCCUCCCCCUUCGGCCGUCACACCCUUGGGGCCCUUGUGCCCCAAGGCUAGCCCCUCCCCUCCUCCUAUAUAUAUUAGUGGUUUAGGGCUUUUUGAGACACAACUUUGCCACGUGCAACUCAAUCCUAUUCCACAUAGUUUUGCCUCUAGAUCGGAUUUCUGCAGAGCUCGGGCGGAGCCCUGCAGGAGUAGAUCAUCACCACCACCGGAGCGCCUUCACGCUGCCGGAGAACUCUUCUACUUCUCCAUCUCUCUUGUUGGAUCAAGAAGGCCGAGAUCGUCAUCGAGCUGUACGUGUGCUGAAUGUGGAGGUGUCGUCCGUUCGGCGCUAGAUCAGAUAGGAUCGUUGGACGGAUCGUGGGACGACGGUGAUUUGAAUCACGAAGCUGUACCACUACAUCAACCGUGUUUCUUAACGCUUCCCGCUUAUUGAUCUACAAGGGUACGUAGAUCUAAUCACCUCUCGUACAUGGACAUCACCAUGAUAGGUCUUCGUGUGCGUAGGAAAAUUUUGUUUCCCAUGCGACGUUCCCCAACAUUAGUAACGUUAUCAACAUCAAGUAGAAUAUGAGUAUACCCAUUAGAAGAAGGAAAAUGGUCCCAUUUAAUCAUUGCGCCAAACAUCAAAUGGUUCAGUAGCAACUAGCAAGUGAAUAAUUCAAAGGCAUUUCCUGACAUCUACAAAUAUUAAAAUUCUUUGAAAAUCACAAGAAAGGACAUACUUACAAGCAUCUUUAAAAAGAGUAGGCCAAUAGAAACCGGAUUGUAAUACCUUGUGUGCAUUUCCUGCGGUAGCUUGUGUGCUCUCUGUUGUCAUAUGGCUUAAUUUCUACUUUCUUAUAGGGCUGAGUAUUACCGGAGGCAAUUCAGGGCCAACCCUGUAAGCAAUGUCAUCUUCCUCCUCUUCCAAUUUUUCAAUCUCAAUUCUUUCACAUGCUUCACAAACAAAACAAGCACCUUUAAAUUCACAGAAGCUCUUGCCAUCUUCGGAGAGUCUACAUCAAAAUCAAUUGAGAACAAUUCUCCUAGUGUUUUACCCGGUGGGCACCAGAACACAAUAUCGAACUCACCAGGUGGAUAUUUCAGCUACCACAAAAUAUAGUCAAUCAUAUCAUUGCAGAAAGUGUUCCUAUCAAGGUUAUCAACACAAAUACUUUUUCAUCCAAAUAUGCCAAAUUAAGUCCUUUUCCCAUGAAGAAACCACCAAGAUGCAUCUCUAUACUGAAUUUUCCUGAAUCCGAACCUAUAUUGCAAAAUUUAUCAUUAGUUCACUAACCCUAGCAAGCAAUCGACAGAUGAAACAUAAGAGUGGGUACAAUCCUACAAAAAAAAGAUCAAGAACCUAGAACUUAUACUAAUUCACUACCUAAUCUAUCAUAGACCUAGCUAUUAGGAGGGGGGAGCCAAUCAUCGUAGACCUAAUCUACCUGAUAUGGCAGCGUAAGCGGAUAAUCCUAGCUAUUAGAGGGAGGGGAGGAGACACAGGGCUAACCAUAGGUCGGGCGUCUAUCCUCUUCUGUCCUCAACUUCGGCUACAUCUCAGUCAUCUUUGCCCGUACACUUGCCGCCGCCGACCUCGACACACCCGCAACACCACCCGUCGCCUCACCCAUCGGCAAAUAGAGAAAAGAGUGUCUUUUGUGCAAAAAAAAAAAACUACCCACACACGUGACAUGUGUGCCUCGCGUGACCUUCGAAUCAGGCGGCAGUCCGAUCAAAAUGGUCAGUGUGACCUAGAUGCACCCGCGUGCAGUGUGACUUAAGUGUAGACGCAACACAAGUUUUCAGGGCGCUAGUUCCUUUUGCUCAGGUAGAAAUGNNNNNNNNNNNNNNNNNNNNNNNNNNNNNNNNNNNNNNNNNNNNNNNNNNNNNNNNNNNNNNNNNNNNNNNNNNNNNNNNNNNNNNNNNNNNNNNNNNNNCUCCUGACCUCCGAGGAGACGGCGAGGAUGGUGGUGGACAACGCCAACAUCCCCGGAUGGUGGGAGGACAGGUUCGAGAAGGCCAUGGUGAAGAUGGCCGGCAUCGAGGUCAAGACCGGUGACCAGGGACAGAUCAGGAAGAACUGCCGCGCAAUCAACUAGUACCAAUUAAGUGCGUGCAUGUACGUCUACGUGCAUGCAUGUCAAAGGAUCGUCCAGUGUUUUGCUUCAUCCUGCAUGCGAACUUUCUUUUUUUAGCACCUACAUUUCUUGUCUUUUCAUUUGUCAUUUCUUAGUUCUAUUUGCGCCAACGGAAUUAUUUGUGUAUAUGGAAUGUACAUGUGUAAAUGGGCUGCGGAAAACAAUGUUCUUUGUAUUUGGGA
rnacentral:lncRNA from 1 species